rnacentral:rRNA from 1 species
GCCGUAAACCCAAGGUUUCCAGGGGAAGGUUCGUCCGCCCUGGGUUAGUCGGGACCUAAGCUGAGGCCGAAAGGCGUAGGUGAUGGACAACAGGUUGAUAUUCCUGUACUACCGAUAACCGUUUGAGGGAUGGGAUGACACAGUAGGAUAAGCUAAGCACACUGUUGGUUAUGUGUGCCCAAGCAUUGAGGCAGUCAGAGUAGGUAAA